UACGUAGGGUGCUAGCGUUGUUCGGAAUCAUUGGGCGUAAAGCGAGUGUAGGUGGUCAGUAAAGUCGGGUGUGAAAGCCCACGGCUCAACCGUGGAAGUGCAUUCGAAACUAACUGGCUAGAAGAUGGUAGAGGAAGGUGGAAUUCCUAGUGUAGAGGUGAAAUUCGUAGAUAUUAGGAGGAAUACCGGUGGCGAAGGCGGCCUUCUGGGCCAUUCUUGACACUGAGACUCGAAAGCGUGGGUAGCAAAC
rnacentral:rRNA from 1 species